rnacentral:rRNA from 1 species
ACCAGUACCGUGAGGGAAAGGCGAAAAGAACCCCGGCGAGGGGAGUGAAAAAGAACCUGAAACCGUGUACGUACAAGCAGUGGGAGCACGCUUAGGCGUGUGACUGCGUACCUUUUGUAUAAUGGGUCAGCGACUUAUUUUCAGUGGCGAGCUUAACCGAAUAGGGGAGGCGUAGCGAAAGCGAGUCUUAAUAGGGCGCAUGAGUUCGAGGGAUCAGACCCGAAACCGAGUGAUCUAGGCAUGGCCAGGUUGAAGGUAAGGUAACACUUACUGGAGGACCGAACCCACAUCCGUUGAAAAGGAUCGGGAUGAGCUGUGCCUAGGGGUGAAAGGCCAAUCAAACUCGGAUAUAGCUGGUUCUCCGCGAAAUCUAUUUAGGUAGAGC